UACGUCGCCGCCAUUUUGUUUCCCCGGCAGUAAGGAAACCCACCCUGAAAAGCACCGGGCGCGGGUCUUCCCUUCUAUCCGGAGCUCCUUCAACGCGGUGGAUCGGCAUCGUGCACCCAGCGUUAGCGUCGCAUGAUGUCUGCACACAUGGCCACGGAACACGUGAACGGGACCGGACCGGAGGAACCCAUCGACCCUCCGGAGGCGACCCGCUCCGAGCACUACCCGGCGCUGCUGGAGGCCGGCAUCCCCCAGAACGUGGCGGAGAAGCUGGACGAGCUCUACGUAGCAGGCCUCGUGGCUCACAGCGACCUCGACGAGCGAGCUCUGGAAGCGCUGAAGGAGUUCAAUGAGGACGGAGCCCUGCAGGUGCUGGUCCAGUUCAAAGAGAGCGACCUGUCGCACGUGCAGAACAAAAGUGCGUUCCUGUGUGGCGUGAUGAAGACGUACCGGCAGAGGGAGAAGCAAGGCACCAAAGUGUCCGAUUCCACGAAAGGACCGGACGAGGCCAAGAUCAAGGAGCUCCUGGACAGAACCGACUACACGCUAGACGUCACGACGGGCCAGCGCAAGUACGGCGGCCCCCCGCCGGAGGAGGUGUACUCGGGGGCUCAGCCCAACGUGGGGACGGAGAUAUUUAUCGGGAAGAUUCCCCGCGACCUGUUUGAAGACGAACUGGUCCCCCUCUUCGAGAAGGCCGGGCCCAUCUGGGACCUGAGGCUGAUGAUGGACCCGCUGAGCGGCCUGAACCGCGGCUACGCCUUCGUCACCUUCUGCACCAAAGAAGCCGCCCAGGAGGCCGUGAAGCUGUGCAAUAAUCACGAGAUUCGGCCCAACAAGCACAUCGGGGUGUGUAUCUCUGUCGCCAACAACCGGCUGUUCGUCGGCUCGAUUCCCAAAAGCAAAACAAAGGAGCAGAUUGUUGAGGAGUUUGCUAAAGUCACAGAGGGCCUCAGCGACGUCAUCCUGUACCACCAGCCCGACGACAAGAAGAAGAACCGGGGCUUUUGCUUCCUGGAGUACGAGGACCACAAGACGGCCGCGCAGGCCCGCCGCCGGCUGAUGAGCGGCAAGGUGAAGGUGUGGGGCAACUUGGUGACGGUGGAGUGGGCCGACCCCAUCGAGGACCCCGACCCCGAGGUCAUGGCCAAGGUGAAGGUUUUAUUUGUGAGGAAUCUGGCCAACGGCGUGACGGAGGAGCUCCUGGAGACGUCCUUCAGCGAGUUUGGGACACUGGAGCGCGUGAAGAAGCUCAAAGACUACGCCUUCAUUCACUUUGAGGAGCGGGAUGGAGCCGUGAAGGCGCUGGACGAGAUGAACGGGAAGGAGCUGGACGGAGAGCCCAUCGAGAUCGUCUUUGCCAAGCCGCCCGAUCAGAAACGGAAGGAACGCAAAGCCCAGAGGCAAGCGGCCAAAACCGUCAUGUACGACGACUAUUACUACUACUCCCCUCCCUCCCACAUGCCGCCUCCAGGCAGAGGCCGGGGCCGAGGCGGCAACCGGGGCGGCUACGCCUCUUACCCCCCCGACUACUACGGCGGCUACGAGGACUACUACGACUACUACGGCUACGAUUACCACAACUACCGCGGCGGCUACGACGACCCCUACUACGGCUACGAUGACUUCCAGGCCCUGAGCCGGGGGCGCGGCGGCCGGGGCUCCCGGGGCGCAUCCUCUCCGGCGGCCAGAGGACGCGGAGGGGCGCCCAGAGGGAGGGCCGGCUUCUCCCAGCGGGGCGGGCCCGGACCGGGGCGCGGCGGGCGCGGCGCCAGAGGAGGCCUGCCGCCCAGAGGGCGAGGAGGGCAGGACAAAGGGUUCGAGGCCGGUCCUGACGUGGCGCUAUGAGGACAGUCUGGCGUUCGGCGCCACGCGCACAACACGCACUGCCGGCCGCCUAGUGGAUGGAAUGAUGUUAAGUUUCUACAUCGCAGUGAAGGACGAGACGGGCCUGUGGGUCUUUGGAUCCAGGAAGCGGGUUCUUUAGGAGCCUGAACCACUACGGGUCCGAUAACUACCUCCGUUUUUAAAAGGACUCGAGAACUGCAACGCCAACGGAGCGCUUAAUGAGUUUUAGCUGCUCGGUGGAGACGCGGCGGUCAGCUGCUCCUCCUGGAACACGCCUCACACGCGUGUCGGGGUGAAAGAUGUACGGUCGCGGAGCCGGAAGAGGUCCACGCUGUCACAAACUCCCAGUUAAAAAGUUAAAAGCGUCCACGUUACUUUGAAAGGUUGGCAUCGCGUCGUCUCGCCACGAGCCUGCGGUGCAUUGUGGGUGCUUCACCGCGCCGUCGUGUGGCGUUUCCAGUUUAACCGCCGGCCUCUGGCGUGACGCCGCCGUCUCAAACGGUGACGUUUAAAUCCCCACAGUCUUGAAAUAUUAUAAUAAUAAUAUUAGUGAAUAUUCAGUGUUUAAAUUUUUUUUAUUCUACAUCAAUUUAUUUUGUUCCCAAAGAAUAUUCAAGUUUUUUUUUUUCUUGUAAAUUUACUAAAAAAUUCUACGAAAUUCAGAGUUUCUAUCCUCCGAUUAUUACCCGGCUCUGUAUUUUAUAAUAAUUAUAAUUGGUACCUCCAGUGGGCCUGACGCGCUGUUGUAUUAAUACAUGAACUAAGUGGACAUGUAGGUUACGGACGGAUUGUUCUGUUAUUUUUCAGACGUCCUUUUGUCUUCCACGAUGGGAAACUGUCUUUAUUAUUUUGGGAUGAUCGCAAAGUGUCGUCUCACUCUGCACAAACAUCUGUGAGGUCCCUUUUUAAUUUUAAUAUUUUUAACUUGGGCUCAUGUUAGCAGAUUUUUGAAGAAAAUAGACUUCCUGGUCCUGAGGAGUUUUAGUGUUUCUACAUUUCUCAUUACCGCUGUCGACUGACGAUCAUGCCGCUCGUGUUGACUCAUUCUGGGGGAAACUGUUGAUGGACGCUUUGUACUGGAGCCAUGUUUGAGGCUUUAAAGGAGAAAAUCCAUCCUGAUACAUUUCAGCUUGUUUAGGGGAGAAGUCACAGGCUUUUGGUUUGGUGCGUCGUAGUUUUUAGCCAGAGGGCUUCCAGCGAGGUCAUCGCUCUUAGCGAGGGCUCGACUUUGUUUUGUUGUUGGGUUUUUUUAGCAAAUAAAAAUUGGUUCAAAUUCCCUGAAUAUUAAACGAGUCAAUAGAAGUUCUUUUGUAAACUGCCAACAAAUCCCACGGAAAGAGGGAAAAGACAAAACACAAAAACGAGGAGUCUCGUAAUACUCUCUGGCAUUCUGGGAAUUGUAGGAAAUCUUUUUGAAUGCAGACUUGAGUUUGGGUUUCUCCUUUAAAGAUAUUUUCUUUUUUUUCGGGUUUGUGGAAAAAGGCCAGAUUUCUAUUUUUUUCUUUUUUUUCUUUCAUACUAGUAUUGACUCUGUUGGAUCACCAAUUUUAAGGGUCAAUAAUUAUAUAUAUAUAUAUAUAUAUACUUUUUUUGCUAACAAAUGUGUUUGCAUUCUUGCAAAUAAAUUGUUUUAUACUGUAUAGUGAGGUAAGGUAAACCUAUUUUUCUAAUAAAGUUAUUGACUUUGA